UUUUUCCAUGAUGUUAUUCGAAUAUUUCGACAUUUCUGCUGUCAGGCAGGUCCGAUGGAAUGCCCAUCACUGUUGUAAAUGCUGUGUGUAAUAUUAUUUCCUACCCAUUGACUACAACAAUUAACGUCUCUAGAACAGGAAUGUUUUCUAAAUGUCUUGAAAUAUGAUAAGAUGAAGCCAAUCUUCAAAAAGCUAUUACCAGAAUAUGUAGGCAAACUUGUCUGUUGCACAGUAUUCUGUAAGUCAUUGGAAAGGUUGUGACCAAACAAAUGGAAAAGUGUCUGAUAAAAACAGUAAUACUUGAAAAAUCACGUAGGUUUCCAGAAAGGGAAAAGCUUUAUACAUGACAUAGACAAAUUAACUGAUAAAAAUAAGCUCCUCGUUAGAUAAAGUAAAAUGGUCACAUGAACUUUCUGUGACCUGUCAAAAGCUUUUGUUUUAAUGUAUCACACAUAACUUGUUUUCAAAAUACAAAGAUAUAGUAUCAGGGCCUGUGAGUUGCAGUGGUUGAUGUCAUAUUUGGUAGAUUGAACACAUAGAGUAACCACAAAUGGAAGCAAUUACUUCUGAGGCUUGAAGACUUUUUAUCUCCAAGGUUCAAUAUCUUGUUUGCAGAUGCCACCUCAGUCCUAAUGGAAUAUAAUGUCCUAGAAAGUAUCCCAGAUAGUAUUCAAAACAUCAAAAAACCUUGAAUCCUGGUUUUAUCAAAGUGGACUGAAAAUGAAUGUAACAAAGACCCACGUGAUGCAGUUUAGAGCUAAAAUACCAGAAACAGUUGAAAAUAAAAUAACUCAGAAUGGCCAGGAAAUGACAGAAAAGCAAAAAUGUGUCUCACAGAUACUUUGAAUUGGUUAUUGGGUAUAGUAUAACCUUCUGGGAAAAUUCAACCCAACAACAUUAGACUUCUGAUGCUUCACAAGAAGAUCAUCAAAAACAGUUUGUUUCAGGUUGCUGUUGUUUAAAUGUUAAUGAAAACUAUGAAGCAAGUAGGAGUCAGUUCCCUCUGAGCGACACAGGUGUUAACAGACUGAAAUCUUCAGUCAUCACCACCAGUGAAUUCUACAUAACAGUGGAAAAUAACAUAAGGACAAAUUAAACAAUGUGUACUGCAUUUAGCUAGUUAUUUACGUGUUCCAGAGAAUGUUUGUAUGAUAUUUAAUCAUAACAAGGCAUUGGUCAGUUGACAGGUUAAAGAAGUGGCUACAUGAUGCCCAUGUACUGAAUUUGUGUAAUAGUAAAAAUAUUUAGGUUAUUAGCAGAAGAAACUAUGUAAUUCUCUUAAACUUCAUACAAAACAAGUUUCUAAAUAAAAACUCCUCUUUGGAAUA